UCUUUUUUGACACUUUGAUUGUUCAGGAGCAUGUUGUUUAAUUUCUACAUAUUUAUGACUUUUCCAAAAUUCCUCUUGUUUUAAUUUUUAGUUUUAUACCAUUGUGGUCAGACACAAUACUUGAUAUCAUUUUUAUCUUCUUAAAUUUGUUAAGACUUGUUUGUGGCCUAAUGUAUGGUCUAUCCUGGAGAUAUUUCUUAUGCACUAAUAGAAGAAUGUAUAUUCUGCUGCAGUUGGAUAAAAAAUUAUAUAUAUAUAUAAUGUUAGGUCCAUUUUGUAUAAAGUGUAGUUCAAUUUCAGUAUUUCUGAGAGGUGAGGCCAACUGGACUUCCUGGGUUGAGUAGGGACUUGGGGAAUUUUCCUGUCUUACAAGAGGAUUGUAAACCACACCAAUCAGCGUUCUGUAUAACACACCAAUCAGCACUCUAUAAAACGCACCAAUCAGCAGGAUUCUAAAAGUAGCCAAUCAUGGGGAAGAUUGAAAAAAGGGCACUCUGAUAGGACAGAAGUGGAACACGGAAGAGGACAAUAAGGAAAUAAGAGCUGGCCACUUCAGCAGCAGCGGCAACCCGCUUGGGUACCCUUCCACACUGUGGAAGCUGUGUCUUUUCGCUCUUCACGAUAAACCUUGCUACUGCUCAUUCUUUGGGUCCGUUCCACCUUUAAGAGCUGUAACACUCACUGCGAAGUUCCACGGCUCCAUUCUUGAAGUCAGCGAGACCAUGAACCCACCAGCAGGAACCAACUCUGGACACAUCUUCGGGACUCGUCGAGGAUAUUGCCACGCGUUUAGACAGCAGGAGUGGAAUCUUGGACUCAUCACGCCCAAGUUAAACUUUGGACACCCCCUGAAGAACCUGCGGGACUGUCAGCUCAGGAGUCCCAAGAUCAGCCAGACCAGCCUCGAUACACCUGUGAACCAUUGGAGGACUUGCAUCUCCUAUUUCAGAAGGAAACAUCCCAGACUAAAAAGGCUCCUACAGCUGAUCCUGAGGAAAAACCCCUUCCUACUUAAAAAAGAUAAGUGAAACCCUACAUAAUCUUUAACACCUCUUUUUGCCCCUUUAAUGGAAUCCUUUUACUCUUUCAUCACAUUAUUAAGCAGUAUAUUAACCAUACUCUUUGCAGUAGGACUAUAUACUGUAGCUCCUGCUGGGAUGAAAAUCCUAAUCACAUCAACCUUUUAUCUAUCAUCCUUCCUUCUGACAGCAAUUACUCCCACCUUCAACUCAGACUGGAUAAAACGAUCUUAUCUUCCAGGGCACCCUCUUUUCCUUCCUACUUACUCUUUGCCUAUCUAUCCCUCCUGCUUCCUGGGCUACCCCACAUAGUCGCCCCUCCCCUUCUCUAGCUCCUAAUUACCUCUACAAGACUCUCAACCCACUCUCUGUUAAACCAGUCCAAUCCUUCCCUGGCAAAUGACUGUCGGCUUUAUAUCCCUCUAUCAGCCACUGCUUACGUUGUCACUCCCAUUCCUGCAAAAACUGGGUCUUUACUAACUUAACCUACCACCCCCGUUAUGAAGGAAAAGACCCUUUCCAACUUCUAAAUAUGCAAUCAUUAGCCAACUUCUCCAUCUCUGAUAGGACCAAAAAUACCCUAACAGGAUGCACAAUCCAGCUUUUACGCUCUCACAUUUCCAACCUCACCUAUUACAUGAGCAAUGAAAAGCCCAUACACGGCCCUGUAACUACGAAUACCAUCUUAACUUUCUAAGCCUCUUUAUGCAUCCAAUGCAACCUGUUAUCAGGCCUGCCCCUGGGGCACCUACUAUCCUAUCAGUGUAAUUACACCCUACAACUUCAAGCCCCAAAUGAUCAUAGUAACUUCCAAGUCACCCAAACAGCUCCAUUCAGAUGGCUUGUCCGCUUCUCAGGGCCCCCCAAAAUCUUCACCUCCUCCCUGCUUAACAAAUAGUCUGGGUUUUGUAAUGGCAAACAUACUUCCUGCAUGAUCAUUCACCCCUGGACCCCCUGCAGCAGCGCCCCCACCAUUAAUGAAUGCCUUCUCAUCCCCUCUUUCAAUUACUCUCUUGAAUGGUUCCCAGUAGACAUAAAAUGUUUUUUUUUUUUUUCUCCAGUGGGAAAAUAGAACACAGGGAGCCACUCAUUUGCUCCCAACACCCCUUUCCAGCUGCUCACUGGAGCUACCUUGGCAAGUACUCUAGGAGUAUGGGAAAAUGAAAAAAACAAACUCACACACCUUUUUAACAUACACAACCAGUUCUGUCUACCCAGCCAAGGCAUAUUCUUCUUAUGUGAAACUUCAACCUAUAUCUGCCUCCCCAUUAACUGGACAGGCACCUGCACCUUAGUCUUCCUAAGUCCCUACAUUGACGUUGCCCCAGGAAAUGAGACCCUAUCAGUGCCCCCUCAAAGCUCAAGUCCCUCGGGGCAGAGCUGUACAACUAACACCCCUACUUUUAGGGUUAGCAAUGGCCACUGCUACAGCAACCAGAAUAGCCACUUCAUUAUCCUACUUCUGGAUAUACUGCUGGCUAGGGUGGCCAGCUUUUAUUCCCUUAUUGUCCCCUCCCAUGUUCCAUUUCCGUCCUAUCAGAUUUACCUACUUCUUUAUCUACUUCAUUAUCCUACUACCAUACACUCUCAAAGGAUUCCUCAGACAGUUUGCAAGACAUAACAAAAUCUAUACUUACUCUAUAAUCCCAAAUAGAUGCUUCGGCAGCAGUGACUCUCCAAAACCACUGAGGCCUAGACCUCCUCACUGCUGAGAAAGGAGGACUUUGCACCUUCUUAGGGGAAGAGUGUUGUUUUUACACUAACCAGUCAGGGAUAGUAUGUGACGCCACCCAGUGUUUACAGGAAAAGGCUUCUGAAAUCAGACAAAGGCUUUCAAACUCUUAUACCAACCUCUGGAGUUGGGCGACAUGGCUUCUCCCCUUUUUAGGUCCCAUGACAGAUAUCUUGCUAUUACUCGCCUUUGGGACCUAUAUUUUUAACCUCCUUGUCAAAUUUGUCUCUUCCAGUAUCCAGGCCGUAAAGCUACAGAUGGUCUUACAAAUGGAUCCCCAAAUGAGCUCAACUCACAACUUCUACUGAGGACCCCUGGACCAACCCACUGGCCCUUUGGCCUAGAGAGUUCCCCUCUGGGGGAUGCUACAACUGCAGGGCCCCUUCUUUGCCCCAUCCAGCAGGAAGUAGCUAGAGCGGUCAUUGCCCAGUUCCCAACAGCAGUUGCGGUGUCCUGUUUAGAGGGGGGAUUGAGAGGUGAGGCCAGCUGGACUUCGUGGGUUGAGUGGAGACUUCGGGAACUUUCCUGCCUUACAAGAGGAUUGUAAAAUGCACCAAUCAGCACUCUGUAAAAUGCACCAAUCAGCGCUCUGUAAAACGCACCAAUCAGCAGGAUUCUAAAAGUAGCCAAUCACAGGGAGGAUAGAAAAAAGGGCAAUCCGAUAGGACAGAAAUGGAACAUGGGGAGGGACAAUAAGGGAAUAAAAGCUGGCCAGCGCAGCCAGCAGUUUCAACCUACUCAGGUCCCCUUCCAUGCUGUGGAAGCUUUGUCUUUUUGCUUUUCACAAUAAACCUUGCUACUGCUUACUCUUUGGGUCCGUGCUAUCUUUAAGAGCUGUAACACCACGAGCAUCCGUGGCUCCAUUCUUGAAGUCAGCAAGACCAUGAACCCACCAGCAGGAACCAACUCCGGACACAUCUCCUUAGUAAUAUUGUGUCUGGUUGGUCUGCCCAUUGUUGAAAGUGGGUUACUGAAGUCCCCUACUAUUAUUGUUUUGCUAUUUCUCUCUUCUUGUCCACUAGUAUUUGCUUUAUACAUAUAGGUACUCUGAUAUUGGUUGCAUAUAUAAUUAAAAUUGUUAUGUCCCCUUGAUGAAUUGAGUUCUUUAUUGUUAAAUAAUGACCUUCUUUGUCUUUCAUGAGAGUUUUUGACUUGAGGUCUAUUUUAUCUGAUGUAAGUAUAGCUACUCCUGCUCUGUUUUGGUUACCAUUUGCAUGGAAUGUCUUCUUCCAUCUCUUCACUUUCAACUUAUGUGUCCUUAAAGCUAAUAGAGUCUCUUGUAGCCAGCAUAUAGUUGGAUCUUAUUUUUAUCUAUUCAGCCACUCUGUGUCUUUUCAUUGGAUAAUUUAAUUCACUUGCAUUCAAAGUAAUUAUUGAUAGGUAAGGAUUUACUAUUGCAAUUUUAUAAAUUGUUUUCUAGUUGUUUUGUACAUCCUUUGUUUCUUUUCACUUGUUGUCUACCUCUGUGAUUUGGUUAUUCUCUGUAGUGCUAAGUUUUUAUUCCUUUCUCUUUAUCAUUUAUGUAUCUGCUAUAGUGUUUCAUUUUGUGGUUACCAUGAGGCUUACAUACAACACCUUAUAAUAGAUUAUUUAAUACUGAUAACAACUUCAGUUGCAUACAAAAACACUAGACUUUUACCCUGCACCUCACAAUUUAUAGUUUCCAUGUAUAAUUUACAUCUCUUUAACAUUGUAUUUACCUUAACUUAUUGUACUUAUGGUUAUUUUUGUCCAUUUUGACUUUUAUCUUUCAUUCUAGACAUAUGAAUGAUUAAUAAGCCACCAUUAUGGUAUUGGAGUAUUCUGAAUUUCACUAUAUAUUUACCUUUACUGGUAUAUUUUUUUACCUUCUUACGUUUUCUUGUUAGUAAUUAGUAUCCUUUUUUUCCCACUUGAAGAACCUUCUUAAGCAUUUCUUGUAAGGCAGGUCUAGUGGUGAUGAAUCCCCCCAUCUUUUGCUUGUCUGGUAAAGACUUUGUUUCUCCUUCAUUUCUGAAGGACACUUUCAUUGGGUAUUAUAUUAUUGGCUGACAGUUUUCUUAUUUCAGCACUUUGAAUAUAUCAUCUCAUUCUUUCUUGAGCUGCAAAGUUUCUGUUAAGUCCAUGGACAGUCUAACAAUAAUUCCUUUAUAUGUGGCAUAUUGCUUUUCUCUUGCUGCUUUUACAAUUCCCUAUUUGUCUCUGACUUUUGAUAGUUUGACUACAAUAUGCCUCAAUGAGUGCCUUUCUGGGUUAAACCUGUGUAGGAACCUUUAGCUUCGUGGAUCUGGAUGUCCAUAUCUUUCCCAAGACUUGGGAAGUUUUCAGUGAUUAUUUCAUUAAAUAAGCUUCAUGUCCUUUACUGUAUCUUUUCUUCUUCUGAAACUCUCAUAGUGUGAUUGUUUGUUUGCUUAAUGGUUUCCCUUGAGUCCCACAGGCCUUCUUCACUCUUAUUAGUUUUUUUUUCUUUUUCUUUCUCUCUCUCUGUUUUUUUUUUUCUUUUUUACCUCUGAAGGAGUAGAUUCAAAAGAUCUGUCUUCAAUUUAACAGAUUCUUCUGCUUGAUCUAGUCUGCUGUUGAAGCUCUCUGUUGUAUUUUUUGUUUUAUGCAUCUGAUUAUUCAGUGUCAGGAUUUCUAUUUAGUUCUUUUUUAUAUUUAUCUCCUUGUUGAAUUUCUCAUUCAGAUCAUGAAUUGUUUUCUUGAUUUUGUUGAAUUGUCUAUCUGUGUUCUAUUAUAUCUCACUGAGUUUCCUUAAGAUCAUUAUUUUGAAUUUCUUUUUGAGCAUUUCAUAAAUCUUGCCUUUAGGGCCAGUUACUGGAGAACUAUUGUAUUCCUUUCGUGGUAACAUGUUUCAUUAUUUUGUUUUGUUCUUACUUCUGUGUCCUUGUAUCAAUGUCUGAACACCUGAUGGAACAAUGACCUCAUUCAAACUUUACAGAAUGGCUUUUAUAGAGAGAGUUUACUUGCAGAUGUGUCAGGGUAGUACCAGUUGGAAAGGGUUUGGUGGCUCUGAAUUCAAGUGGACCCAGUGAAAUAGCCUUCCUACAACCAUUUCAGCUGUGAUCAACAUCAAUGACUGCGAGUGCCUCAUUGGCCUAAGCUACAGGAGUUUGUGGCAGUGGCAGCAGCAGCUCGUGAUGUUAUAUUGUUUAGUGACAAGGGACUUGGGAGUCUUCCUGUUCUCAUUUUCUUUACAAUGGAGAGUCAUAGCUCAGGAAACUCCUCUUGGCAAUGGGUCUGAUAUGGUUUAUAAGCAGCCACAGUGACACUGGGUUUCAGGGUGCAAGUGAUCAGAGUAGUGUGGAGCCAGGGUCCUGGGCUUAGAGUCUUGAAAGCCUUCUGUGGUCCCUGGGACUUGGGGCACAGGUUCACUUUCAGGGGCAUAGGUAGAUGCAGAUUGCCCACAAAGCCAAAGCAUGUGACCCUGAAGGACACCCCAACAGCUUGGGUCCACAGGGAUGGGUUUUAGUUGUGACUCUGACCCUGGGAGACAGAGCAUAGCACUGGGCUGGCCCUAGGGAACGGGUUUUGGGCCCUCAGGUACAGGGCACAGCUGCAGUUUGGGACCCAGAGCCCAGUAGGGCACAGUGGCAACUUACGCCCUGGAGGAUGAAGCACCAUGAAGUAGUGACUCUAAAUCUGGCUGUGGUAGGGCACAGCAGUAUCCCAAGCUCUCUGAGGCCGGAGGUAGUGGCAGGAAGGACCCAGAAAUGGUGAAGCACAGCUGUGACUGGAGCUUCAGAGGGCAGAAAGUACAGUGAUGACUCCGCUCCCCAGACAGUGUGUUUUGGCGGCUCAUACUCUGGAGGGCUAGCUCGGUUUUAAGGAAACAGGGUGUUACAGUUGUUUGGUUUGGAAUACCAGGAUCUCACCUCAGCCAAUGCUUUGUUUCCCUAGGACAUGAGGUGCCACAUCAGCUCAGCCCUGGGAGGCCUGGAUGCUCAGCUCAGAGAUGGAGUCUUGCUAUGUUGCCCAGACUGGUCUCAAACUCCUGAACUCAAGUGAUCCACCCACCUUGGGCCUCCCAAAGUGCUGAGAUUAAAGGUGUGAGCCACUGUGUCUAGCUACUUGUAUUUUUGUACCCGUUAACCUCUUUUCACCCGUCCCUGCUUCCCACGACCCCUCCUGGCCUCUGGUAACUGCUGGAUAGAGUAUAUCUUCAUGAGAUCCACUUUCUUCAGUUC